rnacentral:rRNA from 1 species
UUAUAAGAGACAGCAGUAGCCACGGGAAUACGGAGGGAGCUAGCGUUGUUCGGAAUUACUGGGCGUAAAGCGCGCGUAGGCGGUUACUCAAGUCAGAGGUGAAAGCCCGGGGCUCAACCCCGGAACUGCCUUUGAAACUAGGUAACUAGAAUCUUGGAGAGGUCAGUGGAAUUCCGAGUGUAGAGGUGAAAUUCGUAGAUAUUCGGAAGAACACCAGUGGCGAAGGCGACUGACUGGACAAGUAUUGACGCUGAGGUGCGAAAGCGUGGGGAGCAAACAGGAAUAGAUACCCCUGUAGUCCCUGUCUCUUAUAC